UGGGGAAUAUUGCACAAUGGAGGAAACUCUGAUGCAGCGACGCCGCGUGAGUGAAGAAGUAUUUCGGUAUGUAAAGCUCUAUCAGCAGGGAAGAAGAAUGACGGUACCUGACUAAGAAGCACCGGCUAAAUACGUGCCAGCAGCCGCGGUAAUACGUAUGGUGCAAGCGUUAUCCGGAUUUACUGGGUGUAAAGGGAGCGCAGGCGGUACGGCAAGUCUGAUGUGAAAGCCCGGGGCUCAACCCCGGUACUGCAUUGGAAACUGUCGGACUAGAGUGUCGGAGGGGUAAGUGGAAUUCCUAGUGUAGCGGUGAAAUGCGUAGAUAUUAGGAGGAACACCAGUGGCGAAGGCGGCUUACUGGACGAUCACUGACGCUGAGGCUCGAAAGCGUGGGGAGCAAACAGGAUUAGAUACCCUGGUAGU
rnacentral:rRNA from 1 species